UGGGGGAUAUUGCACAAUGGAGGAAACUCUGAUGCAGCAACGCCGCGUGAGGGAAGAAGGAUUUCGGUUUGUAAACCUCUGUCUUCGGUGACGAAAAUGACGGUAGCCGAGGAGGAAGCUCCGGCUAACUACGUGCCAGCAGCCGCGGUAAUACGUAGGGAGCAAGCGUUGUCCGGAAUUACUGGGUGUAAAGGGUGCGUAGGCGGGACUGCAAGUCAGGUGUGAAAACGGUCGGCUCAACCGAUCGCCUGCACUUGAAACUGUGGUUCUUGAGUGAAGUAGAGGUAGGCGGAAUUCCCGGUGUAGCGGUGAAAUGCGUAGAGAUCGGGAGGAACACCAGUGGCGAAGGCGGCCUACUGGGCUUUAACUGACGCUGAGGCACGAAAGCAUGGGUAGCAAACAGGAUUAGAUACCCUGGUAGUCCAUGCCGUAAACGAUGAUUACUAGGUGUGGGUGGUCUGACCCCAUCCGUGCCGGAGUUAACACAAUAAGUAAUCCACCUGGGGAGUACGGCCGCAAGGUUGAAACUCAAAGGAAUUGACGGGGGCCCGCACAAGCAGUGGAGUAUGUGGUUUAAUUCGACGCAACGCGAAGAACCUUACCAGGUCUUGACAUCCCAAGAACGAACAAGAGAUUGAUUGGUGCCCUUCGGGGAGCUUGGAGACAGGUGGUGCAUGGUUGUCGUCAGCUCGUGUCGUGAGAUGUUGGGUUAAGUCCCGCAACGAGCGCAACCCUUAUCGUCCGUUACUAACAGGCAAAGCUGAGGACUCAGACGAGACCGCCGGGGACAACUCGGAGGAAGGUGGGGACGACGUCAAAUCAUCAUGCCCCUUACGACCUGGGCUACACACGUGCUACAAUGGGUACAACAAAGAGACGCGAGACCGCAAGGUGGAGCCAAACUCAGAAAAGUACUCUCAGUUCAGAUUGUGGGCUGCAACCCGCCCACAUGAAGUUGGAGUUGCUAGUAAUCGCGGAUCAGCAUGCCGCGGUGAAUACGUUCCC
rnacentral:rRNA from 1 species